rnacentral:rRNA from 1 species
UGGGGAAUAUUGGACAAUGGGGGGAACCCUGAUCCAGCCAUGCCGCGUGUGUGAAGAAGGCCUUAUGGUUGUAAAGCACUUUAAGCGAGGAGGAGGGUACUGGUAUUAAUACUACCAGGUACUGGACGUUACUCGCAGAAUAAGCACCGGCUAACUCUGUGCCAGCAGCCGCGGUAAUACAGAGGGUGCGAGCGUUAAUCGGAUUUACUGGGCGUAAAGCGUGCGUAGGCGGCUAAUUGAGUCGGAUGUGAAAUCCCCGAGCUUAACUUGGGAAUUCCAUUCGAUACUGGUUAGCUAGAGUGUGGGAGAGGAUGGUAGAAUUCCAGGUGUAGCGGUGAAAUGCGUAGAGAUCUGGAGGAAUACCGAUGGCGAAGGCAGCCAUCUGGCCUAACACUGACGCUGAGGUACGAAAGCGUGGGGAGCAAACAGG